AACCAUUCUCACCUGCGGCUAGACCUGCGGAAGGAUCAUUAUUGAAUAAACUUGGUUGGGCUGUUGCUGGCUUCUUGGAGCAUGUGCACGCCUAGCACCAAUUUUUACCACCUGUGCACCAUUUGUGGACCUGGAUACCUCUCGAGGAAACUCGGUUGGAGGACUGCUGUGCGAAAGCCAGCUUUCCUUACACUUCCGGUUCAUCUUUUCACAUACCCCAUACGAAUGUAACAGACUGUU
rnacentral:misc_RNA from 1 species